rnacentral:ribozyme from 1 species
UGCCCAGCAACUCCUAUCCCUACCUCCUAGUGGUGCUGGCCGGGGUACGAGUAACCUGAGGGAAGAUCGGGUAACCAACUCUGGUGGGAACCGACAGGGAAGG